CCUACGGGAGGCAGCAGUGGGGCAUAUUGGUCAAUGGAGGAAACUCUGAACCAGCAACGCCGCGUGAAUGAUGAAGGUCCUCGGAUUGUAAAGUUCUUUUCUAAGGGAAGAAGACAGUGACGGUAUCUUAGGAAUAAGCCUCGGCUAACUACGUGCCAGCAGCCGCGGUAAUACGUAGGAGGCAAGCGUUAUCCGGAAUGACUGGGUGUAAAGGGUGCGUAGGUGGUUUGAUAAGUUGGUAGCGUAACUCCGAGGCUCAACCUCAACACUACUACCAAAACUGUCGGACUUGAGUGCAGGGGGGGCAACUGGAAUUCGUGGUGUAGCGGUGGAAUGCGUAGAUAUUAGGAGGAACACCAGUGGCGAAGGCGAGUUGCUGGACUGUAACUGACACUGAUGCACGAAAGCGUGGGUAGCAAACAGGAUUAGAUACCCGAGUAGUC
rnacentral:rRNA from 1 species